rnacentral:rRNA from 1 species
UACGAAGGGGGGCUAGCGUUGCUCGGAAUUACUGGGCGUAAAGGGCGCGUAGGCGGCACUGUUAGUCAGGCGUGAAAGUCCUGGGCUCAACCUGGGAACUGCGCUUGAUACGGCAGAGCUAGAGGAUGGAAGAGGCUCGCGGAAUUCCCAGUGUAGAGGUGAAAAUUCGUAGAUAUUGGGAAGAACACCGGUGGCGAAGGCGGCGAGCUGGUCCAUUCUGACGCUGAGGCGCGACAGCGUGGGGGAGCAAACAGG